UUCGCCUCUGAUGCACACUUUAAGAGGACUCUGAGGAAGGUGGGGUCACCGCCAGGCCUGGGAGCCUACACGGAGCCAGCAAGAAAUAAAUAACUUCUUCAGAAGGUGACAGGAGAGGCGAAAGAAAGCCAAAUGUCAUGUGCACAGCCACCUGGGGAAUUCCAUGAACAACGACAACUACGAAAAUCUGCCUGCUUCUACAAUGCUGGGGCCAGACCCAGUGAAUAAGACAGAUGAGAACACACUGUCAGAGUUUUACAACCCUGCCU